CGCGCCCCGCGCCCCGCGCCACCGGCCAGCACGCGCCGCAGCGAGCGCACCGGACUGCCUCUCCAGCUGCUGCCAGUUUGGGCCCCUGCUCUCUCUGGCUUCCAGCUGUGAUGUCUGGUCGUCCCCAUCUCCCUCCUGAAGCAGCCACGCCCAGGGUGCAUGCCCACCCAGUGGCCCUUAUGAAGUGGUGAACUCUCUGACCAGCAGGGGUGGAAGAUGGUACCAGUCAACCCUGCGCCGGAGGAGGAGCCCGAAGCCGCCACUGAGAGAUGGAGGACCCCACGCCUGAGCCCGUCUACGUGGAUGUGGACAAAGGACUGACCUUGGCCUGCUUCGUCUUCCUCUGCCUGUUCCUCGUCGUGAUGAUCAUCCGCUGCGCCAAGGUCAUCAUGGACCCUUACAGCGCCAUCCCCACAUCCACCUGGGAGGAGCAGCACCUGGACGACUGAGGCGCGGGCAGGCAGGGGCAGUGGGGAGGGGCCGAGACCCUGGCACUCCCUGGACGAGGUUGCCCCGGGACACACCUCCAUCCCCUGGCCACCAGCGUGCCAGCGCCUGGAGGCAGGCGGGAACAGAUUUGGCUACUGGGGAUGGAAAAGGUUCACCUUAGCUUUGUCCACUCCCACACGAGCAGCAGGUUGAGAUGCGUGGGAUGUUGUGGGUGGUACCAUGGCCAGGCAGUCGGGGGAUGAGAGAUCCGUGAGUCAGUAGGCCCGGGUUCCAGGCUGGGGACUCAGUGUGAGACUAUGGGCGGUCACCUUCCCUGGACCCCAAACCCCAUUUGGCAUUGGAUACAGGACAGAUCAUAUAACAGUGGUCCAGUUUUGAGGAGACAGACCCUUGCCCUGAUCAUGCCAAGUAGCACAGGUACUAGCCCCAGGGUUGCACAGCACAGACACCCACCUGAAACCCAGCCCCUUCCCAAUGGGCUGGCAGUGGAGCCAGGUGGUGACCCAGGGAAGCAGAUGGAUUCAAAUUCACAAAAGGCACAGGGGCUGCUUCCCAACAAUAUUUUUUUAAAACUAGAAUAUAGAAGGGUAUAUUUUUUCCUGUUAUAAAUGAAAUGUGUAUUUCAGAAGUUUGGAAAAAUAAUAGAAGGGGAAAAUAAUACUUAUAAUUCCACGUCCCCAAAGCUGCCAUCCUGAUAUAUUUUCUCUCAGUAUUUCUACAUAUAUUUUUCAAUAGUCAAACUGUGUGCAUGGUGUUACAUCACUUCAUAUUAGAGCAUGAACACUUUCUCAUGUCAUCAAACUCUCUUCAGUUCAGGUCAGUCGCUCAGUUGUGUCUGACUCUUUGUGACCCCAUGAACCACAGCACGCCAGGCCUCC